GACGAACGCUGGCGGCGUGCUUAACACAUGCAAGUCGAACGAAGUGGCGAACGGGUGAGUAACGCGUAAUUAACCUGCCCUUCAGAGGGGGACAACAGUUGGAAACGAAUGCUAAUACCGAAUACUGAAGGAGGGGUUUGCGUCUGAUUAGCUAGGUGGAGGGGUAACGGCCCACCAAGGGGAUGAUCAGUAGCCGGUCGUGUAGGAUGAACGGCCAAAGUGGGACCGGGAAACGGCCCAGACUCCUACGGGAGGCAGCAGGGGGGAAACAUCCGACAUGGACGAAAGUCUUACGGCGCAACGCCGCGUGAGUGGUGACGGCCUUUGGGUUGGAAAGCUCUGUUAAGCGGGGCGCGGUACCGGAAGAGAAAGCCACGGCUAACUACGUGCCAGCAGCCGCGGUAAUAC
rnacentral:rRNA from 1 species